rnacentral:lncRNA from 10 species
CCCUGAUCAGUCAGCAGCCAUCAAUGAGGCAAGAUCCACCAGAAACAGAAACAGACUAGGACUCUCUGAAAGCUCAGCUGAUUGUUAACAUUUUCUGGCAAUAUUUUUAAUCAAGGUCCUGGAAAUGGCUAGAAUCUGUCCUGAACUCUUGGCAUCUUCUGAUACUCAACGAUGGAGCACGGCGUGAACAUCAUCCUGCUGCCCUACACAAUAUUGUCUAGACUAUGGGUAGCUAAAAAAUC